AGCGAACGCUGGCGGCAGGCCUAAUACAUGCAAGUCGAACGAUGGCUUCGGCCAUAGUGGCGCACGGGUGCGUAACGCGUGGGAACCUGCCCUUAGGUUCGGAAUAACUCAGAGAAAUUUGAGCUAAUACCGGAUAAUGUCUUCGGACCAAAGAUUUAUCGCCUUUGGAUGGGCCCGCGUAGGAUUAGGUAGUUGGUGGGGUAAUGGCCUACCAAGCCGACGAUCCUUAGCUGGUCUGAGAGGAUGAUCAGCCACACUGGGACUGAGACACGGCCCAGACUCCUACGGGAGGCAGCAGUGGGGAAUAUUGGACAAUGGGGGAAACCCUGAUCCAGCAAUGCCGCGUGAGUGAUGAAGGCCUUAGGGUUGUAAAGCUCUUUUACCCGGGAUGAUAAUGACAGUACCGGGAGAAUAAGCUCCGGCUAACUCCGUGCCAGCAGCCGCCGUAACAC
rnacentral:rRNA from 1 species